AAUGAACGCUGGCGGCGUGCUUACCCCCUGCAAGGCGAACGAGAAAGCACCUUCGGGUGUGAGUAGAGUGGCGCACGGGUGAGUAACGCGUAAGUAAUCUACCUUUAAGCUUGGGAUAACCACGGGAAACCGGGGCUAAUACCGGAUAAGCUCACGAGACCGUAAGGUCUAGUGAGAAAAGAUAGCCUCUUCUUGAAAGCUUUCACUUAGAGAUGAGCUUGCGUACCAUUAGUUAGUUGGUGGGGUAAAGGCCUACUAAGGCGAAGAUGGUUAGCUGGUUUGAGAGGACGAUCAGACACACUGGAACUGAGACACGGUCCAGACUCCUACGGGAGGCAGCAGUGGGGAAUUUUCCGCAAUGGGCGAAUGCCUGACGGAGCAAUACCGCGUGAAGGAAGACGGCCUAUGGGUUGUAAACUUCUUUUUUCAGGGAGGAAUUCAAUGACGUGUACCUGAAUAAUAA
rnacentral:rRNA from 1 species